UUUAUAAUAAAUUCUGAGGAAAAGGUUACAAGGUACUAUUGAGGUCCUGUAAUAGAAAUCUGACAUAGUCAAGAGGUCAUGGUAGCCUUCCUGCUAAAGAAGUGACAUUUAAGCUAAGAUAUGAAGGAUGAAUGGGAGUCUCAAAGUGAAAAGGAUAGAAAGAGCAGCCUGUUCAAUGAAUAACAAAAGUAGAAACCCUAUUAGGAAAAAAAUGUGCCAAUUACAAGUGUUUGAAAAUAAGGCCACUAUAACUAAAAUAGAGCAAAAGGCAACAUAACCUGAGAAGAGCUAUAGAUAUCACUAGUGACCAGGUCUAAUUGGGCCUCUUAAGGUAAUUCUGAAUUUUUCUAAGAGAAAGGAACAGUCAUUUGACAGGUCUUAAUUAAGCACUGGCUACUGGCUAGAGAUUGGAUUUGAGUAGAUCAAGAGUAAAUACAACCAGUUAAUCCAUUAUUGGACUAGUAACAGAGCCAGGUGUGGUGGCACAUGCUAUAAUCCCAGUAGCGUGGGAGGCUGAGACAGGAGGAUCGCAGGUUCAACACCAGCCUCAGCAACUUGGCAAGGCUCUAAGCACCUAGCGAGACUUUGUCUCUAAAUAAAAUAUAAAAGGGGCUGGGGAUGUGCCUCAGUGCUUGAGUGUCCCUGAGUUCAAUCCCCAGUACCAAAAAAAAGAAAGAAAGAAUAGAAGCUUAUUUUAAGAGAUGCUGGUAAUGGUGAAGAAAAAGAUAUCUUUGAGGUAAGAUCUUAACUUGGAUAAACUUAAUAUGGGGAGAAGGGGCUGGGGUUUGUGGCUUAGUGGUAGCGUGCUUGCGUGGCAUGCAUGAGGCACUGGGUUCGAUUCUCAGCACCACAUACGAAUAAAUAAAAUAAAAAGGCAUGCCUUUAAAAAAAAAAUGGUGAGA
rnacentral:lncRNA from 1 species